CACACCCUCAAACCAAAUCUUUAUUACGUACCUAGCAAAUUAAGCCAACUGCAAUGAAAGCUGUUUACUUCCUCAUAAGCACUCUUGCCAUAUUGGCAUCUGCAACCUUCCUUGUCUCUGCCUCUGACCCCAGUCCUCUUCAGGACUUCUGUGUAGCACUGAAUGACACCAAAUCUGCUGGUAUGCAUGAAUAUAUACUUGUGUUAAUUAUUUAUAUUCUGCCCUGCAAUUAUUCCCACAUGAAUUAUUUUCAUUAGAUAUUAGUUUUAUGAAGAUCGUUUUUCUGUUAACUAUAGCUUCUUCUCAUGCAUGAAAAAUCUAUUAGUACGUAAUUUUACAUAUGAAUAAUGCUAUUUGUACUGCAUUUACCGGGCAUCUUAGUGAUCAUCUCUCUGAGAUACAUUAAAGUGGUUUCCACUUACGUACGUGGAUUUUACCUCCGAAUAGUUCUAACACUAAAGUUUAAUAUAAAUUUUUUUUGGGUUGUAGAAGCAGUGUUUGUGAAUGGGAAGUUCUGUAAGGACCCAAAGCUUGCCAAUGCAAAUGAUUUCUUCUUUUCUGGCCUCCAAAAUCCAAGAAACACACAAAAUCCGCUUGGUUCAAAUGUGACAGCCGUGAAUGUGGACAACCUACUAGGACUGAACACUCUCGGCAUAUCCUUGGCUCGCAUAGACUUUGCACCAAAUGGCCUAAACCCUCCUCACACUCACCCUCGUGCCACUGAAAUCCUUGUGGUCUUGGAAGGAACACUCUAUGUUGGUUUCGUCACAUCCAACGGUGAUGGCAAUCGCCUAUUCACCAAAGUGUUGAACAAGGGAGAUGUGUUUGUGUUCCCAAUUGGCCUCAUUCACUUCCAACUCAAUGUGGGACACGUCAACGCUGUAGCCUUUGCUGGGCUUAGCAGCCAGAACCCAGGAGUGAUCACCAUAGCCAAAGCAGUGUUUGGCUCCCAGCCUCCCAUCAACCCUGAUGUUCUAGCCAAGGCCUUCCAAGUGGACGACAAUGUGGUUGACAAUCUUCAGAAACAGUUCUGGUACGACAACAAUUAGUAAAAUACAACAAAUAAUUAUAAGGCCAAGGAAAGAACAACCAAUCGAUGUGCUUGGUUGGAUGUAUUAAGUUGGCCAAUAUGUUUUUCACUACGUACCUACAAUAAAUUACUAUGAUGUAAUAUUAAUUGAAUAAGAUUGUUGGAUACUUACCCUCUGGGUUUUGAAAUAACAUAAUUUCAUACUUUAGUUUUGAAAUAACAUUAUGCAUUAAUUCAACAAAGUUAUUAUGACAGCUUAAUAAUACUAAAAUGGAGGAGCCUUGCCAUUUUAACAUUGAUAAAUUUGGCCCAUGCUCUAGGGCAAAUCAAGUAGAAAUUUCUCUCUCUCGAGGACAGCUAUUUGCGUGCAAUUAGUGCAGACAUUAAAUUCAACCGUUGGAUCGAUUUUAAAAGGUUACAUGUGUUAGAAUUCAAAGCUUCUAGUAAUUAGUUUUGAAUAUUUUGGAUGUUUGGGAGGAAGGAAGAAAUCACAGAGAGAGAAUGAAGAAGAGAACGUUGCUCUGAAUAGAAAAAUGGAGAUUACUUUUCAUUUCUACUCCACUAGCCAAUAUAUCGUCAGGAAAGAGAGAGAAGUGAGAUGCUUCUCUAACAGAUUUACAUCAAGAUUGAAUCCUUGCCAUUGCUCCUAUCAUCCUAUGAGAUGCUCACAUUUGUCACAAGCUAUCACUUAAAUCCUAGGCUAGAAACAGAGUCCACUUGGACUAUGAUCCAAUGGCUCACAUUACAAACAUAAAUUAAAACAUAUAAAAUGAAAUUCAAAAAACUUUGUGACUUUGGCUCCAAGGUUUUCAGCUCAAGGGUUACACAUCAACAACAUGUAGAAUCUGGUAAAAGAAAACACAAAUAAACCUAACUGAGACCCAGUGACCCACACAAUCAUCUUCUCUUUCCUCUUUCUCUGCCUUCUUCUAUUUUCCUCUCCUUCUCCUAUCCUCUCUCUUUGGGCAUUCAAAUUGAAAAAUUGAGCUUAAUCGAGCAGAAAAAAAUCGAAAUAACCAAAAAUCAGACCGAGUUAACCAAAAACUGAACUAGACCGGUUUGGUCCGAUUUCAAUUCCAGUAUCUUGUAGUGAAAAAAGGGACCGGGCGAACCGAACAGAUUGUGGUGAAUUUCAGACAACGGUUUUUUUUUUUUUUUUUUUCAUCUUCUCAUAAUCUUCAUAUCUGUUUCACAUUUUCUUCUCCCUUCUCAUCUCUCUCUACUUUCUCACUUUGAAAAUUCAAUAAUCUACGACCGUAACAACUCGGGUUAUUAAAAAUAUAUAUAUAUAUAUAUAUAUAUAUAUUCGACUUACUAAUUUCCAUAAAAAUUAAAUGACACAUUUGUGUGUUUGAAAUAUUACUGGAGGGACUGUUUAAGAGCUACUCAGUCAUGUUGGUAAACAUCAUUUGAAGUUAAGCAGCAUCAGAUUGAAUUCAGGUGUGCCUGCCAAUUAUCUGAAUAACAUCUGUGUUUUAGGAUCAAAAAGAAAACAUAACAAGAAAAAAAAAAAAAAAAAAACACCACCAGCUAACCCCAACGGGAAAAUAAUCAGGAGCAGCGGCUGCUUUGAGCAAGACCAGUUUUUUUUUUAAUCGGUGGACUGACUGUAAAAUUUUAUAUCGAGGCAAAUUGUCACCAUCAAUGUUAAUAUAUAAGGAAACGAAUUUCAUUCUCUUUGUAGAAUGAAUCCAUAUAUAGCAUAAGCAUUGAACAUUUCCAUUGGUUAAAUACCACCUAAUUAAAAAAAAUAAAUAAUUAUCUCCUAACUACUCUUUUUUUUGGUACAACUCCUAAUACCUGGUCUUUCAUCAUCAUAAUUAUAUGAAUAUAUUCUCCCUCAACUGACCUUGUCUUAUAAUUAAACAACCCUAAUAACCCUUUACAAAAGGUAACUUAUUUUAUUGAAACACCAAACAGUAGAGCUGAGUCAAAGUUCUUCAAAAUUCUAUCACAACUGAAUUUUCUUUUUCUAGUGCUAAAAUAUAUGUAGGAAAUUUAUUGUUCAAUAGUUAAACUUAAAGGUGAGAUUUUGUCAAAUACCAAGUCUUGACUUGCCUCUAAAUACCCCUAUCUCAAGGGUAAGAAAAUGACCAAAAUACCCCUAUCUCAAGGGUAAAUUUGUAAUUUCCCUUAAAUAAUGUAAAUAACUUAAAUAAAUGGUUAAAUUUGGAGUCGGGGUGUUACAUAAAUACCACCUAAUUAAAAAAAAAAAUAUAAUUAUCUCCUAACUACUCUUUCUUUUUGGUACAAUUCCUUGCAAUGUUAUCGAAUCGGUUUCCUGUAAUUUUGUUACAAUGGAGAACCCUCCUGCUUCUAAUGGUGAUGAGACCCUGUCAAUUAUGGAUUGCUUUGCAGAAGAAAGCAAGUUUCUUGUGAAUGAUAAUGGCAAAAAUGAGUCUCUAGGCAACAUUGCCAACAUCCAAAUAUAAUUUGCAUUGUUUAUCAGAUUAUCUCUAUCAUCAUAGACUUAUAUAUAUGUGAAAAUGCCCUCCAUUUUCCAGGUUGUGCCAGCACAGGUUUUGUUCACUGGUUAGCUAAAAUAUUGUACUUAAAUUCGUUUUAAUCAUAUGUGGGCUUGCUUAGGAGACUUUCAUGGGGGCCCAAACCUAGCUUCAAAGGAUGGCUCAAGCCCAGAAUAUUUUUUUGAUAUUUUUCCCGAAAAGAUAUAAAGCAGGCUUUAUGAUGUUCCUUGGCCCUCAAACACCAAAGCAUACUAGGAGUUGGUAAGGAGGCAACAACCCACCUCUGCAAGCACAACAUGUCAACUAUAUUGGCUGCACAUAAGUAGAGCACAUACUUUUUGGUCGUCCAUUAGAGUUGUUGAAAUAUCAAGAAGAUACAAGAGCACUUCUCCUCAUUCUAAUCCCUCACACACUCAUUUUAGAUGGGGUGAAUACUUUAGUGUAAGUUACAUUGAUCGGUUGAGCAUGAACACUUGUAUUCAUAUGCAUUUGUUUAAGAGUUUUUCCCAUCAAGAAACUCUCUAACAAUCCUUAUUAUAUUAGGUUAGGUUAAGUUAUUUCAAUCCAUAUAGAAUAGGGAAGUAUCACAAGCCUUGUUUAACUUGUACUACACGUCUGCAAGGCUAUCUGAUUGGCUAUUAGUUAAUUUCUUCUGCGUACUUUUAUCAGUUACCACAUGUGCUGAUGUGUUUGCCAUUUUCAUCUUGGCUUUUUCCAGUCAUAAGUAUGCCGAUUUUUUAUUUGGUUAUGUGAAUCUUGCAAUGCCUUUGGUGUUUAUUUGACUAAGAAGUCUUUUUUUUCCUAUUUGUGUUAUCAUUUUAAAACACUCUCUGUGCAUGUGUUGUAGCUUGCCAAUACAUAUUUGCAAAUGCUGUAACUAAUUAGUGCCUUUAUGCUAUCGGAUGCUUCUUUCAGAUAUGUUUGGUUCUUGUCACUGUUUCCUUUACCAUAGCUGGAGAGUAAAGAAAAACCCUGCUUUAUUUUGCUAGUAGUAAUUGUAUUCUAUUAUCCUCUGCUGAUGAGGAUUUUCUUUCUCUUCCUGCUUUCUUGAUAAUGCUCUCUUGUUUUUCCAAUGAGCAAUGAUAUGUUACUGCUUAUAGUAAUAUCUGACUCUUCUCAACUACAGAAUGUCAUUGCUUGAAGCAUGAGUUUUGAACUAGAUGGUGUAACUUCCAUACUGUUAAUACAUUUUAAUUUUUCUUACAUACAUCUGUAUCUGUUGGCUUCCCUAAGUGUAAUGUGUGCAUAUUAUCCUGCAGGAACUUAAUAAUCUCGAACAUUUGGGCAAUGCUACACCUCAUUUCAAUACAAGCAACAUAUAUAAAGGUCUAGGAGACUUGGAAAACUUGGGUAGAGUUGGUGAAGUUGGAUAUAAUUUUUGCAGUGAGCCUGAUUCUAGGAGCCAUUUUCUGGAGCUAUAUGAUCUCGACCAACCUCAGCAUCCUAAUCUCUUCUUUUAGUUAUGUAAUUUUUAUGGCAAGUUUACUUUGCAUUGAUGGUUACCGAUUCCGGAUUUUAUUUUGAUUUCAACUAUAUUAUCCAAUCAUGUAUCCCUUUAUGUUUCUUAGCUUGUAUUACCUUUGCUGCUUUUGGGCUGUUUAAUGAAUUAUUCACUAUUGACCAAAGGAAAAUUCUAGAAGUUUAAAUUUUACCCUGAGCAUUUCCAGAAACACUACUUUUUUUUUGGGUUGCUAAUUCUUAGUUAAAAUGGCUAGAAAGUUAUUUUGAAUGAAAUAAAAAGAGGGAAGGAUUUUGGCGGAGUUAAAGUGGAUUUAGCAUUUCCAGAAAGACUUACUGUUUUCCAUAAAAAGUAAAUGACAGAUUUGUCUCUCAACCACGUAAAAAGUCCCCAACCAAUUCAAGAAAUAUUACUUGCAAAGGGACUCAGUCGAAUUGGUAAACAUCAUUUGAAGUUAAAGCACCAUCAGUCCAGUCGGAUUGAACUGAGGUCUGCCUGCAACUAUCUGAAUAACAACUGUGUUUUAGGACCAAAAUAAGAGCAAAAAAAAAAAAAAGAAAAAAAAAAGAAACACCAGCAGCUAACCCCAAGUGGGAAAACAGAGAGCAAGACCAGUUUCAAACCAGCUAGAAGGUGAAAAAUGAAACAGAAGAAAAAGUCAUGAACUCAAAUUUCGAGGGUGGAAGGACUGUAAAAUUUUAUAUUGAGGCAAAUUGUCACCAUCAAUGUUAAUAGGAGAAUGAGUUUCAUAAUUCAUUCUCUUUGGCAGAAUGAAUCCAUUCCAUAUAUAGCAUAAGCAUUGAUCAUUUCCAUUGGUUAAAUACCACUGGGUUUAAACUUAUAAUAUUAAGUAGAAGAAAAAAAAGAAGCAGCAAUUAAUUUGAAGUAAAAGAUUCAAACCCUAAACUAUAUGGAUCUGGAAGGAAGAAAAUUAAUAUAAAAUUUUGGUCAAUAUAUACCUUCUAGUUAAACUUAAAGGUGAGAUUUUUUCAAACAUCAAGUCUUGACUUGGUUCUAAAUACUAAGUAUAUAUAUAUAUAUAUAUAUAUAUAUAUAUAUAUAUAUAUAUAUUCAAAUCCUUACCUGCUUCGACAUGGAAAAUCAUAUCCAAGAGUACAAGACCAGUUCAUUCUCCCCAGUCUAUAAAUAGGCUUCUAACCCAUGAAGGAUUUUCAUCUCACACCCUCAAACCAAAUCUUUAUUACGUACCUAGCAAAUUAAGCCAACUGCAAUGAAAGGUGUUUAUUUCCUCAUAAGCACUCUUGCCAUAUUGGCAUCUGCAACUUUCCUUGUCUCUGCCUCUGACCCCAGUCCUCUUCAGGACUUCUGUGUAGCACUCAAUGACACCAAAUCUGCUGGUAUGCAUUAAUAUAUACUUGUGUUAAUUAUUUAUAUUCUGCCCUGCAAUUAUUCCCACAUGAAUUAUUUUCAUUAGAUAUUAGUUUUAUGAAGAUCGUUUUUCUGUUAACUAUAGCUUCUUCUCAUGCAUGAAAAAUCUAUUAG
rnacentral:lncRNA from 1 species